GACGAACGCUGGCGGCGUGCUUAACACAUGCAAGUCGAACGGUGAAGCUCCAGCUUGCUGGAGUGGAUCAGUGGCGAACGGGUGAGUAACACGUGAGCAACCUGCCCCUGACUCUGGAAUAAGCGCUGGAAACGGCGUCUAAUACUGGAUACGAGAAGGGUCCGCAUGGGCACUUUCUGGAAAGUUUUUCGGUUGGGGAUGGGCUCGCGGCCUAUCAGCUUGUUGAUGAGGUAAUGGCUCACCAAGGCGACGACGGGUAGCCGGCCUGAGAGGGCGACCGGCCACACUGGGACUGAGCCACCGCCCACACUCCUACGGGAGGCAGCAGUGAGGAAUAUUGCACACUGGGCGAAAGCCUGAUGCAGCGACGCCGCGUGAGGGAUGUCGGCCUUCGGGUUAUAAACCUCUUUCCGAAGGGAAGAAGCGAAAGUGACGGUACCUGCAGAAGAAGCACCGGCUAACUACGUG
rnacentral:rRNA from 1 species